rnacentral:sRNA from 1 species
AUGAAAAGUAGAGAGGGGGGUGAUCAAGUGGAGCAUGGGAUAACUACUGGGUGAUGCAUUAGUUCAGCUAAGUUGAGCGGGGCACGUUUGGAAUGACUUGGCACAUGCUUGCUUGCUAACUUAUGUAAUUCGUGGGUAUCCUCAUAGUUAAGCUAUGUUUCACUUGAGGUAUGCCUGCAGGUAAGGUAAUUUCUGCUAGCUUUCUUGUAAAGAUGGGAAGGUAUGUAGCUAGGGCUGAGUUUGGGAACUCCAAGCCUCUUUUAGUAAAUAGUAGAGAGAUAUUUAUUUAAUUCCUGAAAAAUUGUGUGAAGUGAGAGUUACUAGUAGUGCCUGCAGGUGAUAUAUGGCAUAAGUAACCCAACAGGUGACAAGUAACCCCCGUUAUUCUUGUAAUGUAUUAUGCUCUUCCAAUGCAAUUUGUUGCUUCAUCUUGGGCCCCCUGUGUACUCAUCCUUGGUAGAAAAACAGAGCUUACAAACUUGGGAGUUCAAAAUAGCCAAAAAAAAACUUAGCUAGCUAGGUGAAAGUAAUGCUUAAUUAAUAUUUUUUGUGUAUUGUCCUCUUGCAAAGUUGAUGUGCACAGGCAACUGCAUCAGAUCUAUAACAUACCCUACCAUAUUACAGUGAAACGGAGGAGAUCUCAGGGAAUGGCUGAAGUUGCAUUGGACCAAUCUUGGUCCGACAAGCCUCCAAGACAAACUUGGAUUCAAUUUCGUUCUGGCAGAUCGGUAUGAAUGCCAUCCUCGCAAGCAUUGCGCAAGUUGAUAGUGGUGAUAUUCUUGAAAAGAAAAAAUCGAUAGUGGUAAUGAGAAAAGCACAGGAGGAGGACAAGAGGACAAGUGAGGCGGCAAGCUAAGAAGACGGUGGCUUGGCGUGCUUGGCGUAAUCUAACUUGAUUACCAGGCAGAGGCAGACAAACACUGGAUUCUAGCUCGAUGGAAGAUGUUCCUGCCACAUGUGCAUGCAUUCAUGCUGGCUUAAGGAAAUUAUUCAGGGAGACAUGAUGCCCAAGCAAGAAGAUCGAGGGCAGGGCUGCUCCAGAUGAGAUCAUCAGCCGCAGCUACACCUCUACCUCUGCUUCUUGUUUUCCUCUACCUGUAGGCUGUAGCAACAACAAGUUUUCCUCUACCCCUCUGCUUCUUGUUUAGCAACAACAAUAGUACUACUGCUCUGCUUCCUGUGUGUCAUCUGCAUCAAUGAUCUGUGAUGAUCUAUUGGAUGUAUCUCAGUAUCUGUGCUUAUAGCUUUCCACCAUCGAAUCGAACAUGCACGACUCAUUUUC